UUAAGCAGGAUGUGAANUCCCCGGGCUCAACCUGGGAACUGCGUUNUGAACAGGGUGACUAGAGUGUGUCAGAGGGAGGUAGAAUUCCACGUGUAGCAGUGAAAUGCGUAGAGAUGUGGAGGAAUACCGAUGGCGAAGGCAGCCUCCUGGGAUAACACUGACGUUCAUGCCCGAAAGCGUGGGUAGCAAACAGGAUUAGAUACCCUGGUAGUCCACGCCCUAAACGAUGUCGAUUAGCUGUUGGGCAGCAUGACUGCUUAGUAGCGAAGCUAACGCGUGAAAUCGACCGCCUGGGGAGUACGGUCGCAAGAUUAAAACUCAAAGGAAUUGACGGGGACCCGCACAAGCGGUGGAUGAUGUGGAUUAAUUCGAUGCAACGCGAAGAACCUUACCUGGUCUUGACAUGUACGGAACCCUCCAGAGACGGAGGGGUGCCUUCGGGAGCCGUAACACAGGUGCUGCAUGGCUGUCGUCAGCUCGUGUCGUGAGAUGUUGGGUUAAGUCCCGCAACGAGCGCAACCCUUGUCAUUAGUUGCCAUCAUUAAGUUGGGCACUCUAAUGAGACUGCCGGUGACAAGCCGGAGGAAGGUGGGGAUGACGUCAAGUCCUCAUGGCCCUUAUGACCAGGGCUUCACACGUCAUACAAUGGUCGGUACAGAGGGUAGCCAAGCCGCGAGGUGGAGCCAAUCUCACAAAACCGAUCGUAGUCCGGAUUGCACUCUGCAACUCGAGUGCAUGAAGUCGGAAUCGCUAGUAAUCGCAGGUCAGCAUACUGCGGUGAAUACGUUCCCGGGUCUUGUACACACCGCCCGUCACACCAUGGGAGUGGGGGAUACCAGAAGUAGGUAGGGUAA
rnacentral:rRNA from 1 species